GACGAACGCUGGCGGCGUGCUUAACACAUGCAGGUCGAACGCUGAAGCUUGGUGCUUGCACUGGGUGGAUGAGUGGCGAACGGGUGAGUAAUACGUGAGUAACCUGCCCUUGACUCUGGGAUAAGCCUGGGAAACUGGGUCUAAUACUGGAUACGACAUGUCACCGCAUGGUGGUGUGUGGAAAGGGUUUUACUGGUUUUGGAUGGGCUCACGGCCUAUCAGCUUGUUGGUGGGGUAAUGGCUCACCAAGGCGACGACGGGUAGCCGGCCUGAGAGGGUGACCGGCCACACUGGGACUGAGACACGGCCCAGACUCCUACGGGAGGCAGCAGUGGGGAAUAUUGCACAAUGGGCGGAAGCCUGAUGCAGCGACGCCGCGUGAGGGAUGACGGCCUUCGGGUUGUAAACCUCCUUCAGCACGGAAGAAGCGAAAGUGACGGUACGUGCAGAAGAAGCGCCGGCUAACUACGUG
rnacentral:rRNA from 1 species